UACUGUUGAUCCUGCCAGUAGUCAUAUGCUUGUCUCAGAGAUUAAGCCAUGCAUGUCUAAGUACAAACUUUGAAACAGUGAAACCGCGAAUGGCUCAUUAAAUCAGCUAUGGUUCCUUAGAUCGUACAUACUACAUGGAUAUCUGUAGUAAUUCUAGAGCUAAUACAUGCCACUAUGCCCUGCCCCGCAAGGGAACGGGUGGUUUUAUUAGAACAGAACCAACCGGUGGCAGCGCAAGCUGCCACUGUUGAAUUCUGUGAUGACUCUGGAUAACUUCAACGAUCGCAGCUGGCCUUGUGUCGGCGACGGAUCUUUCAAAUGUCUGCCCUAUCAAUUGUCGACGGUAGGUGACCUGCCUACCAUGGUGAUGACGGGUAACGGGGAAUCAGGGUUCGAUUCCGGAGAGGGAGCCUGAGAAACGGCUACCACAUCCAAGGAAGGCAGCAGGCGCGCAAAUUACCCACUCCCAGAACGGGGAGGUAGUGACGAAAAAUAUGAAUACGGGACUCAUCUGAGGCUCCGUAAUUCGAAUGAGUACAAUUUAAAUCCUUUAACGAGGACCUACUGGAGGGCAAGUCUGGUGCCAGCAGCCGCGGUAACUCCAGCUUCAGAAGCGUAUAUUAAAGUUGUUGCAGUUAAAAAGCUCGUAGUUGGAUCUGGGUCGCAUGGCUACAUGCCGUUGCUAUGAUUUGUACUUGGCGCAAGUCGAGGACAGGUCUUGCGUCGGUGUCGUGGUUGUGCAGCCUUUCUGUCGUGUCUGUGUAUACGGGUGCAUUCGAGGGCCUAUAAGGACUCGUUUGCAUGCUUUUGGAUGCCUUUAAUUGGGUGUCCUGAGCGGACGACACGUUUACUUUGAACAAAUUUGAGUGCUCAAAGCAGGCCAUAGUGCCUGAAAAAUCUUGCAUGGAAUAAUAAAAUAGGACUUCGGUUCUAUUUUGUUGGUUUUCGGAUCCGAAGUAAUGGUUAAGAGGGACAGACGGGGGCAUUUGUAUGGCGGUGUUAGAGGUGAAAUUCUUGGAUCGCCGCCAGACAAACUACAGCGAAAGCAUUUGCCAAGGAUGUUUUCAUUGAUCUGGAGCGAAAGUCAGAGGUUCGAAGACGAUCAGAUACCGUCCUAGUUCUGACCAUAAACGAUGCCAACUGACAAUCCGUGGAGGUUCUAUUGCUGACCCUGCGGGCAGUCCCCGGAAAACCCUUAAGUUUUUGGGCUCCGGGGGAAGUAUGGUUGCAAAGCUGAAACUUAAAGGAAUUGACGGAAGGGCACCACCAGGAGUGGAGCCUGCGGCUUAAUUCGACUCAACACGGGAAAACUUACCCGGCCCGGACACUGUGAGGAUUGACAGAUUGAUAGCUCUUUCUUGAUUCGGUGGUUGGUGGUGCAUGGCCGUUCUUAGUUGGUGGAGUGAUUUGUCUGGUUAAUUCCGAUAACGAACGAGACUUUGGCCUGCUAAUUAGUAUGCAUGUCCUCUGUGCUGAUGUAGAUGCCAGUGGUCGUUGCCUCUGCAAGGGGGUGGCGCCGUUGACCAUCGAUCAGUACGGUGCAUGUGUUUACUUCUUAGAGGGACAAGCGGCGCAAGUCGCACGAAAUUGAGCAAUAACAGGUCUGUGAUGCCCUUAGAUGUCCGGGGCCGCACGUGCGCUACAAUGACGGUCUCAACGAGUUUGGGAUCCUGUCCUGAGAAGGUCGGGCAAACUGUAUCAUGUCCGUCGUGACUGGGAUCGGGGCUUGAAAUUGUCCCCCGUGAACGAGGAAUUCCUGGUAAGUGCAAGUCAUUAGCUUGCGCUGAUUACGUCCCUGCCCUUUGUACACACCGCCCGUCGCUACUACCGAUUGAAUGGUUUAGCAAGGUCAUCGGAUUGGUGUCAUUGUUAGUGGCUUCGGCUGCUCGACCGACGCUGAGAAGACGACCGAACUUGAUCAUUUAGAGGAAGUAAAAGUCGUA
rnacentral:rRNA from 1 species